rnacentral:rRNA from 1 species
CCUACGGGUGGCAGCAGUGAGGAAUAUUGGUCAAUGGGCGCGAGCCUGAACCAGCCAAGUCGCGUGAGGGAAGACGGCCCUACGGGUUGUAAACUUCUUUUGUACAAGGGUAAACCUGAAUACGUGUAUUCAGCUGAAAGUACUGUACGAAUAAGGAUCGGCUAACUCCGUGCCAGCAGCCGCGGUAAUACGGAGGAUCCAAGCGUUAUCCGGAUUUAUUGGGUUUAAAGGGUGCGUAGGCGGAAUUCCAAGUCAGCGGUAAAAUCGCGGGGCUCAACCUCGGUCCGCCGUUGAAACUGGCGGUCUUGAGUGGGCGAGAAGUAUGCGGAAUGCGUGGUGUAGCGGUGAAAUGCAUAGAUAUCACGCAGAACUCCGAUUGCGAAGGCAGCAUACCGGCGCCCAACUGACGCUGAAGCACGAAAGCGUGGGUAUCGAACAGGAUUAGAUACCCCAGUAGUC